rnacentral:lncRNA from 1 species
AGCGAAUGCUGGAGCUGAUGACACAAGCCCAAGCACGGGGAGCAGCUGGCUGGCUGCUGAAGGGAAGCACUGUGUGCUGUGGCGACAGCCCCUGCCCUGUCAGUGCUGCCAGGAGCAAGGAGCUUCCCAGCUGGCUUGGAGCACAGGGGGGACCCUGCAAGCAGCUCUUUCCAGCAGCUCUUCUCCUCCGGAACUAGCCACAGGAACCCACACGGUGAGAGUUAACCACCCUGGCCCAACGGUUUCUUCAUAAAUAAGGAUUAUUAAUAAACAGU